rnacentral:rRNA from 1 species
UACAUGGAGAGCUUUCUGUGAAGCCGGGCUGUAAGGCAUCCGGUGGAGAGAUCAGAAGCGAGAAUGUUGACAUGAGUAGCGACAAAGAGGGUGAGAGACCCUCUCGCCGAAAGUCCAAGGGUUCCUGCUUAAAGCUAAUCAGAGCAGGGUGAGCCGGCCCCUAAGGCGAGGCCGAAAGGCGUAGUCGAUGGGAACUAGGUUAAUAUUCCUAGGCCAGUGGGAAGUGACGGAUCUCGAAGGUUGUCUGCCCUUAUCGGAUUGGGUGGGCCGCUUAGAGGCUCCUGGAAAUAGCCCCACAUCAGACCGUACCCUAAACCGACACAGGUGGACUGGUAGAGUAUACCAAGGCGCUUGAGAGAACCACGUUAAAGGAACUCGGCAAAAUGCCUCCGUAAGUUCGCGAGAAGGAGGCCCCAUCAGUAGGCAACUAUUGGUGGGGGGCACAAACUAGGGGGUGGCGACUGUUUACUUAAAACACAGGGCUGUGCGAAGCCGUAAGGCGACGUAUACAGUCUGUCGCCUGCCCGGUGCUGGAAGAUUAAGAGGAGGGGUGCAAGCUCUGAAUUGAAGUCCCAGUAAACGGCGGCCGUAACAAUAACGGUCCUAAGGUAGCGAAAUUCCUUGUCGGGUAAGUUCCGACCUGCACGAAUGGCGUAACGAUCUCCCCGCUGUCUCUAACGUGGACUCAGCGAAAUUGAACUGUGUGUCAAGAUGCACACUUCCCGCGGUUAGACGGAAAGACCCCAUGCACCUUUACUCUAGCUUUGCACUGGCAUCAGGAUUGUGAUGUGCAGGAUAGGUGGUAGGCAUUGAAGCGGGGACGCCAGUCUUCGUGGAGCCUCCCUUGAGAUACCACCCUUCGCACUCUUGAUGUCUAGCCGCGGCCCGAUAUCCGGGUCCGGGACCCUGCAUGGUGGGGAGUUUGACUGGGGCGGUCGCCUCCUAAACAGUAACGGAGGCGCGCGAUGGUUGGCUCAGACCGGUCGGAAAUCGGUCGUUGAGUGCAAUGGCAGAAGCCAGCCUGACUGCAAGUCUGACAAGACGAGCAGAGACGAAAGUCGGUCAUAGUGAUCCGGUGGUCCCAAGUGGGAGGGCCAUCGCUCAACGGAUAAAAGGUACGCUGGGGAUAACAGGCUGAUGAUGCCCAAGAGUCCAUAUCGACGGCAUCGUUUGGCACCUCGAUGUCGGCUCAUCUCAUCCUGGGGCUGGAGCAGGUCCCAAGGGUAUGGCUGUUCGCCAUUUAAAGAGGUACGUGAGCUGGGUUUAGAACGUCGUGAGACAGUUCGGUCCCUAUCUGCCGUGGGUGUAGGAGACUUGAGAAGAGUUGCCCCUAGUACGAGAGGACCGGGGUGAACGAACCACUGGUGGACCAGUUAUCGUGCCAACGGUAGUGCUGGGUAGCUAUGUUCGGACAGGAUAAACGCUGAAGGCAUCUAAGCGUGAAGCCCCCUUCAAAACAAGGUCUCCCUUGAGAGCCGUGGAAGACCACCACGUCGAUAGGCCGGAGGUGUAAGUGCAGCAAUGCAUUCAGCUGACCGGUACUAAUUGCUCAAAG